rnacentral:misc_RNA from 1 species
GUGAAUCAUCAAAUUUUUGAACGCAAAUUGCGCUCUCCUCGGAGAGUAUGCCUGUUUCAGGGUCAGCCUAUAUAAAAUCGACAUCGUUCUUGCUUCUCGGUGGCGUUCGUCGGCAAUUGGGUUAUCUUAAAUGCUUUUGGGUUUUAAGCUACUUAAAAUUUUAUUUUUGGUUCCAUGAACGUUUCUGAGAUUUCUUU